UCGAGCGGUAGAGAGAAGCUUGCUUCUCUUGAGAGCGGCGGACGGGUGAGUAAUGCCUAGGAAUCUGCCUGGUAGUGGGGGAUAACGUCCGGAAACGGACGCUAAUACCGCAUACGUCCUACGGGAGAAAGCAGGGGACCUUCGGGCCUUGCGCUAUCAGAUGAGCCUAGGUCGGAUUAGCUAGUUGGUGGGGUAAUGGCUCACCAAGGCGACGAUCCGUAACUGGUCUGAGAGGAUGAUCAGUCACACUGGAACUGAGACACGGUCCAGACUCCUACGGGAGGCAGCAGUGGGGAAUAUUGGACAAUGGGCGAAAGCCUGAUCCAGCCAUGCCGCGUGUGUGAAGAAGGUCUUCGGAUUGUAAAGCACUUUAAGUUGGGAGGAAGGGCAGUAAAUUAAUACUUUGCUGUUUUGACGUUACCGACAGAAUAAGCACCGGCUAACUCUGUGCCAGCAGCCGCGGUAAUACAGAGGGUGCAAGCGUUAAUCGGAAUUACUGGGCGUAAAGCGCGCGUAGGUGGUUCGUUAAGUUGGAUGUGAAAUCCCCGGGCUCAACCUGGGAACUGCAUUCAAAACUGACGAGCUAGAGUAUGGUAGAGGGUGGUGGAAUUUCCUGUGUAGCGGUGAAAUGCGUAGAUAUAGGAAGGAACACCAGUGGCGAAGGCGACCACCUGGACUGAUACUGACACUGAGGUGCGAAAGCGUG
rnacentral:rRNA from 1 species